GUCUACGGCCAUACCACCCUGAAUGCGCCCGAUCUCAUCUGAUCUCGGAAGCUAAGCAGGGUCGGGCCUGGUUAGUACUUGGAUGGAAGAUAGUCAUCAUUGGGAAGUUCUUAGCACAGUACCUC
rnacentral:rRNA from 1 species